ACACUCCUGCGGGAGGCAGCAGUGAGGAAUAUUGGACAAUGGGUGGAAGCCUGAUCCAGCCAUCCCGCGUGCAGGAAGACGGCCCUAUGGGUUGUAAACUGCUUUUAUCUGGGGAUAAACCUACUUACGUGUAAGUAGCUGAAGGUACCAGAAGAAUAAGCACCGGCUAACUCCGUGCCAGCAGCCGCGGUAAUACGGAGGGUGCAAGCGUUAUCCGGAUUUAUUGGGUUUAAAGGGUCCGUAGGCGGACUGAUAAGUCAGUGGUGAAAUCCGACAGCUUAACUGUCGAACUGCCAUUGAUACUGUUAGUCUUGAGUAAGGUUGAAGUGGCUGGAAUAAGUAGUGUAGCGGUGAAAUGCAUAGAUAUUACUUAGAACACCAAUUGCGAAGGCAGGUCACUAAGUCUUAACUGACGCUGAUGGACGAAAGCGUGGGGAGCGAACAGGAUUAGAAACCCUAGUAGUCCCA
rnacentral:rRNA from 1 species